rnacentral:rRNA from 1 species
CCUACGGGAGGCAGCAGUGGGGAAUUUUGCGCAAUGGGGGAAACCCUGACGCAGCAACGCCGCGUGGAGGAUGAAGGCCUUCGGGUCGUAAACUCCUGUCAAUCGGGACGAAAGCGCUCCGGCCUAACAGGUCGGGACGUUGACUGUACCGGUGGAGGAAGCUCCGGCUAACUCUGUGCCAGCAGCCGCGGUAG